CUGCAUUUAUUCACCUGUAGAUCACGAGGAGAUUCAGCAACACCAGAGUUCAGAGAUUCAGACGGUGGUAGAGUCUACCAGCUCAACUACUGAGAACCAAACGCCCAAGAAACCAAAAUCUCUCCAGAUUCUUCUCUAGAGUCAACUGAAGUCAAUUACUCACUUUCCCUCAACUAAGACUUGAUAGAGUGUUUAGGAGCAUCUGAAAUUAAAGUCUCUUGAAGAAGAGGUGACUGAAA